rnacentral:rRNA from 1 species
CCUACGGGAGGCUGCAGUGGGGAAUAUUGGACAAUGGGGGGAACCCUGAUCCAGCCAUGCCGCGUGUGUGAAGAAGGCCCUCGGGUUGUAAAGCACUUUCAGUGAGGAAGAACGCCUGGUGGUUAAUACCCAUCAGGAAAGACAUCACUCACAGAAGAAGCACCGGCUAACUCCGUGCCAGCAGCCGCGGUAAUACGGAGGGUGCGAGCGUUAAUCGGAAUUACUGGGCGUAAAGCGCGCGUAGGUGGCUUGAUAAGCCGGUUGUGAAAGCCCCGGGCUCAACCUGGGAACGGCAUCCGGAACUGGCAAGCUAGAGGGCAGGAGAGGAAGGUAGCACUCCCGGGGUAGCGGUGAAAUGCGUAGAGAUCGGGAGGAAUACCAGUGGCGAAGGAGGCCUUUUGGACUGACACUGACACUGAGGUGCGAAAGCGUGGGUAGCAAACAGGAUUAGAUACCCGAGUAGUC